rnacentral:piRNA from 1 species
AAGCCUGUGUCAGCACUG